UUAUAUUCACCAAAAUGAGGUAUCGCCAAAAUCGAAAUAGACUCAAAAUAACCCGAACUGCCUUUAUGAUUCAAACUCUCCAAAAACCCACUAAUCAAGCUACUAAUAUUACUAAAAUUCACUGGAUAAUUAAGCUUUAAAACAACAUUCGAAGAACUUACAACACCCAAAUUUGCAAAACUCGAUCCAGAUCCCACCAUACACAGCUUCCCAGUAUCCAUGGACCAAAACCCAUAAAGCUCG
rnacentral:misc_RNA from 1 species